rnacentral:rRNA from 1 species
UCCUAGCUUGCUAGGAGGCGUCGAGCGGCGGACGGGUGAGUAACACGUGAGAAUCUGCCCAUUAGUGGGGGAUAACCUGGGGGACGACGUCAAGUCAUCAUGGCCCUUACGGCCUGGGCUACACACGUGCUACAAUGGGCAGUACAGAGGGCAGCGAGGUCGCGAGGCCAAGCAAAUCCCUUAAAACUGUUCGUAGUCCGGAUUGGAGUCUGCAACUCGACUCCAUGAAGUCGGAAUCGCUAGUAAUCGCGGAUCAGAAUGCCGCGGUGAAUACGUUCCCGGGCCUUGUACACACCGCCCGUCACACCAUGGGAGUGGAUUGCACCAGAAGUAGUUAGUC